CAGGCUGCCUCCUUAAAAUGAAGAUGCCUGUUCAUCUCUUUGUGCUUCUGUUGUUCUGGAUUCCUGCUUCCAGAAGUGCUGUUGUGAUGACCCAAACUCCAGUCUCCCUGCCUGUCAGCUUUGGGGAACAAGCCUCUAUCUCUUGCAUGGCUAGUCAGAGCCUUGUAUAUAGUAAUGGAGAUACCUAUUUGUCUUGGUACCUGGAGAAACCAGGCCAGCCUCCACAGCUUCUAAUCUACAAGGUUUCCAACCGAAUUUCUGGGGUCCCAGACAGGUUCAGUGGCAGUGGUUCAGGUACAGAUUUCACACUCAAAAUCAGCAGAAUAGAGCCUGAGGACUCAGGAGUUUAUUACGGCUUACAAGGUACACAUCAUCCUCACACAGUGAUUUAUACCCCAACAAAAACGUCCUUGCUUAGAGUGGCCCAGCUGCCAAAUAUGUUACUCAUCUUUGUGAAACAGAUGCAAAAGAACUCCAGAUUAUUGGUUACAGCUGUGAGCCUUGAGCGUGACAGCAUUAAGCACACCUCAAGAGUUAUGCAUUUUUUACCUCAUCAGAUGCAAUAA